rnacentral:rRNA from 1 species
GCGCGUCGUGGUAUUUCGCGUAUUGUAAUUUCAACACGAGCGGGGUCAAAUCCUUUGCAGACGACUUAGCUGUGCGAAACGGUCCUGUAAGCAGUAGAGUAGCCUUGUUGUUACGAUCUGCUGAGGGUAAGCCGUCCUUCGCCUCGAUUUCCCCAAUGGGUUCUCCGGAUUUCUGGAGACUUGUAGGGGUUGUGGGAUUUUUGAUGUGUCGUCUCCGGACGGGCGGUGCAGGGUAGUCGAGUUAGACUUGGUGGAAUUCCGUCGAUAGGAGUUCCGUCGAGUCUGGUCGGCUGUGUGUUGGACGGUGCAGGGUAGGCUGCUUGGACAUGGUCGGUUCGAGGAUCGAUUCGAGGGCCGGCCUGUCGAUGAUGUGUGAUGUAUGCGGUCUAGGGUAGGCUGGUUUGUCUUGGUUCAAUUUGAUGUCGGCUCCCGUGCAGGCCAGAGUGAGGGGGGUCCAGGGUAGGUACAGGGUAGGCAGCUUAGAUUUGGUCGAUCUGGAGGUCGAUUCUCCGGCUGGCGGAUCUGACACUGUC